rnacentral:miRNA from 1 species
AUUGCAUGGUAAGAGGGUGUUUAGUUUUGUAAAAAUCUGCCAAGCUGUCUUUCAAAGUAGCUGUACCAUUUGGUAUUCCACCAGCAAU